UAAGGAAUCUUGGUCAAUGGGGGGAACCCUGAACCAGCCAUGCCGCGUGCAGGAAGACGGUCCUCUGGAUUGUAAACUGCUUUUGUCGGGGAAUAAUAAGGCUCUAUAGGGGCUGAUGUCGGUACCCGAAGAAUAAGCACCGGCUAACUACGUGCCAGCAGCCGCGGUAAUACGUAGGGUGCAAGCGUUGUCCGGAUUUAUUGGGUUUAAAGGGUGCGCAGGCGGCUGAUUAAGUUAGUGGUGAAAGCGUCCUGCUUAACGGGAUACUCGCCAUUAAUACUGAACAGCUUGAGUAUACGUGAGGAAGUUGGAAUGCGUGGUGUAGCGGUGAAAUGCUUAGAUAUCACGCAGAACACCGAUUGCGAAGGCAGACUUCUGGCGUAAAACUGACGCUCAUGCA
rnacentral:rRNA from 1 species